GACGAACCGUCCUAACGUUAUUCGGAAUCACUGGGCUUAAAGGGCGCGUAGGCGGCCCUGCAAGUCGGGGGUGAAAUCCCACAGCUUAACUGUGGAAGUGCCUCCGAUACUGCGGGGCUCGAGCGAGGUAGGGGCAGCUGGAACUUCCGGUGGAGCGGUGAAAUGCGUUGAUAUCGGAAGGAACGCCGGUGGCGAAAGCGAGCUGCUGGACCCCUUCUGACGCUGAGGCGCGAAAGCCAGGGGAGCAAACGGG
rnacentral:rRNA from 1 species